AGAAGAAAACAGCAGCAGCGCUUUUAGCAAAAGAAGGGAGCUAAAAGAAGUUUAAAAGAAGAAAUAAGUGUAAUUAAUUCUUCUUGGUCGCACACAGCCAACGAGAGAUGGAGCCUUUGCGGUAUGUUGUUGUAGAAUUUGAAGACGAAGCUGGAAGUGGAGAAACCAGCCUUAAAGUUGUCCCCGAGACUUGGAGAGACACAGAGAGACAUCGGAGUUUUCUCUACCCUUCCCACUACUCAGACAGCCGAGUUUUGAAAGCAGCCAGGAAAGGGAGCCCCCUACAGACCAGUGGAGGUCCUACCCCGUUUGCAGAGAAUGGUUUACCACUGAUUCAUGGGAGAAAGCAAACCACAGAUGUGAUAAGCUUGCCAUAACUUCCAACCCGAGUGAUAUCAAAGCUGAAGAUGUUCCCAAGAAGAGGC